CCUACGGGAGGCAGCAGUGAGGAAUAUUGGUCAAUGGGCGCUAGCCUGAACCAGCCAAGUAGCGUGAAGGAUGACUGCCCUAUGGGUUGUAAACUUCUUUUAUAUGGGAAUAAAGUGCAGUAUGUAUACUGCUUUGCAUGUACCUUAUGAAUAAGGAUCGGCUAACUCCGUGCCAGCAGCCGCGGUAAUACGGAGGAUCCGAGCGUUAUCCGGAUUUAUUGGGUUUAAAGGGAGCGUAGGCGGGUUGUUAAGUCAGUUGUGAAAGUUUGCGGCUCAACCGUAAGAUUGCCGUUGAUACUGGCAGCCUUGAGUACAAGAGAGGUAGGCGGAAUGCGUGGUGUAGCGGUGAAAUGCUUAGAUAUCACGAAGAACUCCGAUUGCGAAGGCAGCCUGCUGGACUGUAACUGACGCUGAGGCUCGAAAGUGUGGGUAUCAAACAGGAUUAGAUACCCCAGUAGUC
rnacentral:rRNA from 1 species